rnacentral:rRNA from 1 species
ACGCACGCUGGCGGCGUGCUUAACACAUGCAAGUCGAACGCUGAAGCUUGGUGCUUGCACUGGGUGGAUGAGUGGCGAACGGGUGAGUAAUACGUGAGUAACCUGCCCUUGACUCUGGGAUAAGCCUGGGAAACUGGGUCCAAUACUGGAUACGACAUGUCACCGCAUGGUGGCGUGUGGAAAGGGUUUUACUGGUUUUGGAUGGGCUCACGGCCUAUCAGCUUGUUGGUGGGGUAAUGGCUCACCAAGGCGACGACGGGUAGCCGGCCUGAGAGGGUGACCGGCCACACUGGGACUGAGACACGGCCCAGACUCCUACGGGAGGCAGCAGUGGGGAAUAUUGCACAAUGGGCGGAAGCCUGAUGCAGCGACGCCGCGUGAGGGAUGACGGCCUUCGGGUUGUAAACCUCUUUCAGCACGGAAGAAGCGAAAGUGACGGUACGUGCAGAAGAAGCGCCGGCUAACUACGUG